UACGGGGGGGGUAAGCGUUGUUCGGAAUUACUGGGCGUAAAGGGCUCGUAGGCGGCCAACUAAGUCGGACGUGAAAUCCCUCAGCUUAACUGGGGAACUGCGUCCGAUACUGGGUGGCUUGGAUUUGGGAGAGGGAUGCGGAAUUCCAGGUGUAGCGGUGAAAUGCGUAGAUAUCUGGAGGAACACCGGUGGCGAAGGCGGCAUCCUGGACCAACAUUGACGCUGAGGAGCGAAAGCUAGGGGAGCAAACGGG
rnacentral:rRNA from 1 species